rnacentral:lncRNA from 1 species
AUGGGAGAGAAUUUGAACGCUCUUGGCAGUUGAGAUUCAGACCUUGACAGUUGUAACCGAUAGACUGGGCUGGGGCAACGCUGAUGAAAGGCAAAUUCCUGAGAGAAAAAUCACCCAGAUUUUUCAGUGCCUUCUCUAGCUUUCUAGAAGUUGUUAUGAGUGGACCUGACUACCUAGAGAGAGUAAUACAGAAGCUCCGUGCCGAUCACAGCUACCUCAUUACCAUGUUCCUCCAAGAUGGCCGCCCCUGAGGAGAAUCAUCAACUGGGCUUUACGGAAGAGAGAAAUCCAAACGACCAUCAGCAACAAAUGAAAGACUGAAGUUGAAAGGAAAUCCAUAAUUUUUGAAUGCUGGCCGAGGUCUGUGACCUCUGACUGAAUGGUUUCCAAGCUCCGAAUUCCUAGGUGAUGUUUUCAUUUGUUCACACUUGCUGAAGAAGGGAAAGGCUCUCUGAUUUACGUGUAAGCAAAACAAUCUAAACAGUAGGAUAAAAUCAUGUUGGAAUGGAGUUCUGUGUGGAUGCUCCUUUGAACCAAAUCAGUUCCACAACUGACCCUGUCAGGGACAUAUAAAUUUAGCAUUUUGGUGUGGAUACAGAAGACGAGAUUAACACAGAUCAAGUAACAUGGAAAUAAAAAAGGAGACAAUGCUGGAUGAUACAGGGGCAGCCAACAAGAGGAGAAAACCCAAGCAUUGGCAAAUGCCUCAUUAUCCAAAGAACACUCCUUAUACUCCUGAGAAUUUGUGGCAGUCCUGGGUUAAACGAUGAAGGCUUCUUAUUCUCAUGUAGGUCUCACAGCCUCUUGUCUCCCUGAGUUUUAAACACAUUGCAUUACCUUUCCAGAGGAGGUGUGGAGCAAAACUGUGUUGAAUGAACUGUAGAUGGAAAUUCUCUCCUUCCCACCGAGGAGCCGCUGCAGGUUGCAGACUCCCAGAAUGCCACACUGAGAAGAGGAGGGCUAAAAUUCUAGAGCAGAAUCCCUGGGGCAGCCCCUGCUGAAGAAGGGUGCAUCUGUUGAGAAUCUCAUCACCGCCCCCACCCCGCCCAGCCUUCAAUUUAGAGGAAUUUCUAGUUCACGCAGAAUGAAGACAAGAUCACAUAAGUGAGGACGACGCCCCAUUUACAAGUGUGAUUUGGAAGACUGAAGUGGAAACCUUGGGAAGGGGCCUCAGAGUAUGUCAGCUGGGGUCAGACGGGAACAGGAGUCUGGCUCAACACACAUUUAUUGCACUCCUGUUUCAUGCCAAGAAAUGUACCAAAAUCUGGGACUGUGUAACACAGCAAAGGAAAAGACUCAUCUCCAGGAAGCCCCCUUGUCUAGGAAGAGAAAUUGAAUAUCAGCAUAAGGUGGUGAAAAGCUGUGAAGGAGAUGAGUGCCAGGAGUCCAUGGAGGAAGGAUUCUAGCCUGGACAGGUGAUUGUGGUGAAUAGUCAUGAGAAUCUGGGAACUGGCUCCUGCUCUGUCUAUCUUGGAGAUGCAUCUUUUGUGAGAAGCCAGGGCAAGAAUAGGGAGGCUUAGGCAAUGGGAAGUUUCUGAGUAGAUAAAGCAGAUGGCAGAGCAAAGGGACAGAGCCUGGCGAGAGGCUACUCCCUGUAGCAACCUGCCUAAGAGUGAGAGGAAAGCAAGGCAUGGCUAUGAGCACGUGUAGUCUCAGCUACUUGGGAAGCUGAGGCUGGGGGAUCACUUGAGCCCAGGAGUUCAAGACCAGCCUAGGCAACAUAGUGAGACCAUGUCUCUUUAAAAAAAAAAAAAAAAAGAAAAAGGGAGAGAGAGAAAAAAAGGUGACAAUUCCCCCAACACACAUAAAGUACAUAAGAGUUAACAAGGACACAGUGGCAGAAAAUAGUCAGAACUGAGCAAGCAUCAGUGAGGAAAUGUUUUCCUGAGGAGACUUGAGAAGUCUCAAAAAUGAAAAGAAAGAGUAUUUGGUGUAGAAAGAAUGGCAUGAGAUGUGAAAGCUCAUUCAUCCAUUUAUUCCAGGUAUAUCUUUUUCUUCAGUACUUUGGGAGGCAAUAGGUGUAAUAGCAAGAACAUUCAGGUUAGUGGGUUAGUGUGAGUCUGCCAUAUGUAUGAGGGUUGAAUACACAUUAGGUGUGGUGACUGUCAUAUGGGAGGCACUGCAAGGUGAAGGAGACAUGUCCUCACAUUUGGUCUUUGGGAAGCGAAGCAGGCAGAAACCCAAGUGCAAAGUGGCCAUUUGUUUUCCUAAUGCUAGAUAAGUACCUGAUGUGUUGGAAGGGUGGAGUAGAACUAGAAACUCCUGGAAGUUCUUUUAAGAACGAAUGCAGGACCUCAUCAGCCCGAGUCUUUAAAUAAGUCACACAUUUUUGGUCACCACAUUCUGGAAGGGGGACAAAAAGAUCUGUCACAGACAAAAUUUGGAGAUAUUUAAGGCUUUGUUGACUUUGGCAAAUGCUUGAUUAUAGUUCUGUGGUCUGUUUGUUUUCUAGAGUCUCCAUGAAUUGCAAGGGAAAACAAGUGGUACACUGGUAUUUCUAUUUGAUAACCUGUUCUCUUUGGAAUUCCGGUUAGAAAUCAAAGGCUUACUUGAGUUUUAAUGCUUUCGGGACUUCAAAUGCUUUUCUAUCUUCCUAAUAAUAUAUUAACAUUUUCUGAAGACAACAUAUAUGUGGAAAACAACAUUAUUUACUCAAAUAAUUUUUUUUGAAAAAUGGACCAAAAAAAAAGAAAAACCAACAAAAA